GUGCUGACUUCUGAAGCAUACUAAAAACUGGAACACACAGAGAAGAUCACCAUGAUCCCCGCAUGAGGAUGAUAUGCAUAUUUAUGAAGUGUUCUAUAUUAAC
rnacentral:snRNA from 1 species